GUUUCAAAACAUCGUCAGACGAAUAUGUUCCAGGAAUAUCAAAGUUCAGCACUGAGGUUAGCGUUUUCCCCCAAGGAAUUGAUAAAUUUUUCGCUAGUAGGACACUAUUAGAUCGCGCAACAGCUGAAUUAAUGGUUGAGAAAUAAACGUUUAAAGGUAAAGGCCUCUCACUCAUAGUUGUCAUAAAUCAGAAGCGCCCUUUAAGCAGGUCGGUACCAAAAAAAAGGAAGGGAAAGGGAA